rnacentral:misc_RNA from 1 species
UGAUCUUCAAGAAUGUAUGAAAGGAUUUUUGUGGCCGAAGAUCGUAUAGCGUCCGAGGAAACUUUUCCAAAAACCCAAGGAAGCAGAAUGCCAGACCACUUUUGGCUCUCUUCAAGAGAUAAAUGCGUAUCCCCAGUAGAAAGUAACUCCAUAGCCCUUGCUAAUGCUUCUUGUACUUGCUUGUAUUUUGUUGUCUUCUUAGUUGUAUCUCUCAUCAGCUCAAGACCCUUUUCCAUCACUAUCUUCCGUGCCUCUGGGCUCCUCUCAACAGAAAGCAAAAAAGCAGAUAAAGCCACCUGGGCCAAAGGAAUAUCAUCAUUUUUACUUGCCUGAGAAAUAGUUGUGAGAAGACUGCAACUCCAAUCAGAAAUGGAAUCACUUAUGGGCAGAUGUCGGUCCUCUAAUAGCAACCGGGCUACCAAGCUUCCAUGCCAUUUCACAGAUCUCUCAGGUGCCAUUAAGGCAGUCAUGACAGCUUGCCCGUCUUGGUCCAGUUCCUGAAUAUGGGAUCUAUUGCCCUCAGAUGCCAUUGCCCAAUUAGCUAAUGCCCAUGCAGCAAAGGGCACAG